AAUGUACUCCCUCCGUUCAGAAUUACUUGUCUUAAAAAUGGAUGUAUCUAGACGUAUUUUAGUUCUAGAUACAUCCAUAUCCGAGACAAGUAAUUCCGAAGGAGGGAGUAUGUG
rfam:Triticum urartu cultivar G1812 contig771822, whole genome shotgun sequence.